AACGAACGCUGGCGGCAGGCUUAACACAUGCAAGUCGAGCGCCCCGCAAGGGGAGCGGCAGACGGGUGAGUAACGCGUGGGAAUCUACCCAUCUCUACGGAAUAACGCAUGGAAACGUGUGCUAAUACCGUAUACGUCCUUCGGGAGAAAGAUUUAUCGGAGAUGGAUGAGCCCGCGUUGGAUUAGCUAGUUGGUGGGGUAAAGGCCUACCAAGGCGACGAUCCAUAGCUGGUCUGAGAGGAUGAUCAGCCACACUGGGACUGAGACACGGCCCAGACUCCUACGGGAGGCAGCAGUGGGGAAUAUUGGACAAUGGGCGCAAGCCUGAUCCAGCCAUGCCGCGUGAGUGAUGAAGGCCCUAGGGUUGUAAAGCUCUUUCGCCGGUGAAGAUAAUGACGGUAACCGGAGAAGAAGCCCCGGCGAACUUCGUGCCAGCCGCCGCGGUAAGAC
rnacentral:rRNA from 1 species